rnacentral:rRNA from 1 species
UGGGGAAUUUUGGACAAUGGGGGAAACCCUGAUCCAGCCAUCCCGCGUGUGCGAUGAAGGCCUUCGGGUUGUAAAGCACUUUUGGCAGGAAAGAAACGUCGCGGGUUAAUACCCCGCGAAACUGACGGUACCUGCAGAAUAAGCACCGGCUAACUACGUGCCAGCAGCCGCGGUAAUACGUAGGGUGCAAGCGUUAAUCGGAAUUACUGGGCGUAAAGCGUGCGCAGGCGGUUCGGAAAGAAAGAUGUGAAAUCCCAGAGCUUAACUUUGGAACUGCAUUUUUAACUACCGGGCUAGAGUGUGUCAGAGGGAGGUGGAAUUCCGCGUGUAGCAGUGAAAUGCGUAGAUAUGCGGAGGAACACCGAUGGCGAAGGCAGCCUCCUGGGAUAACACUGACACUCAUGCACGAAAGCGUGGGGAGCAAACAGGAUUAGAUACCCUGGUAGUCCACGCCCUAAACGAUGUCAACUAGCUGUUGGGGCCUUCGGGCCUUGGUAGCGCAGCUAACGCGUGAAGUUGACCGCCUGGGGAGUACGGUCGCAAGAUUAAAAACUC